CUUGUGCAAGAUUCCCUUCUAC
rnacentral:miRNA from 1 species